rnacentral:ncRNA from 1 species
AGAACGCCGCCGGAGCACACGAGGGUUUUUUAACCAGCAUACUUGUUAUGUGGUAGUCGUGCCGGGGGUUCUUUCUUUU